rnacentral:lncRNA from 10 species
CCCACACUUACUUCUAAGAAGUAAUAAUUUUAAGUUUCAUAAUCAAGGAGAUGUUGAUUUUCUUCCUGGUUUUCUGGUGCUCCUUAUCUUUUCUGGAUCACUAACUUAAAUUAAGAUCCACUUAUGAAUGCUGCAUUCAGGAGCACUUGUGAAAAUAAACGAUGGCAUGCCCACCAUUUAGUUUGCCAAGCUUUCCUUGAAAACGCAGGUGCAAACUGAACAAUGAGGACGCAUGGACACAGGAAGGGGAACAUCACACACCAGGGCCUGUUGUGGGGUGGGGGGAAGGGGAAGGGAUAGCAUUAGGGGAUAUACCUAAUGUUAAAUG